UACGUAGGGUGCAAGCGUUGUCCGGAAUUAUUGGGCGUAAAGAGCUCGUAGGCGGUCUGUCGCGUCUGCUGUGAAAAUCCAGGGCUCAACCCUGGACCUGCAGUGGGUACGGGCAGACUAGAGUGCGGUAGGGGAGAUCGGAAUUCCUGGUGUAGCGGUGAAAUGCGUAGAGAUCGGGAGGAACAUCAGUGGCGAAGGCGGCCCUCUGGACCAGUACUGACGCUGAGGCACGAAAGCGUGGGGAGCAAACAGG
rnacentral:rRNA from 1 species